GGCUGGGUAGCUCAGUGGAUUGAGAGCCAAGCCUAGAGGUGGUUAGUACUAGGUUCGAAUCCAGCCUCAGCCA
rnacentral:tRNA from 1 species